UACGUAGGGUGCAAGCGUUAAUCGGAAUUACUGGGCGUAAAGCGUGCGCAGGCGGUUUUGUAAGUCUGAUGUGAAAUCCCCGGGCUCGACCUGGGAAUUGCGAUGGAGACUGCAAGGCUUGAAUCUGGCAGAGGGGGGUAGAAUUCCAAGUGUAGCAGUGAAAUGCGUAGAGAUGUGGAGGAACACCGAUGGCGAAGGCAGCCCCCUGGGUCAAGAUUGACGCUCAUGCACGAAAGCGUGGGGAGCAAACAGG
rnacentral:rRNA from 1 species